rnacentral:rRNA from 1 species
CCAGCCUGCCCAGUGACAAAGUUAAACGGCCGCGGUACCCUAACCGUGCAAAGGUAGCGCAAUCACUUGUUCUUUAAAUGAGGACCGGUAUGAACGGCAUCACGAGGGUUAUACUGUCUCCCCACUCAACUCAGUGAAACUGAUCUUCCCGUGAAGAAGCGGGAAUAAAGAUAUAAGACGAGAAGACCCCAUGGAGCUUAAAACUCAGAAUCAACUGCCACAUUUAUAACCUCAUAACCACGCAGCCAUGACCUCUAGUUUUCGGUUGGGGUGACCGCGGAGUAAAACACAACCUCCAUGAUGAAAGGAACUAAUACCCUAAUCUAAGGACGACAGCCCUAAGAAUUAAUACAUUAACCCAAUUGAUCCAAUCACUUGAUCAACGAACCAAGUUACCCUGGGGAUAACAGCGCAAUCCAUUUCAAGAGCUCAUAUCGACAAAUGGGUUUACGACCUCGAUGUUGGAUCAGGAUAUCCCAGUGGCGCAGCCGCUACUAACGGUUCGUUUGUUCAACGAUUAAAAUCCUACGUGAUCUGAGU